rnacentral:lncRNA from 10 species
AGUUGAGGUACAGAGACAGCGUUCGCAGUCAGCUUGCUAGAGGACCUACACGGGCUCCUCAAGUUCCGCUGCUUCCUCCUCCAAGCUUGCUAGUAUUGAAAACCCAGGAGUUUGGGGUCAUUCAUCAGGAGGAUUCUGCUCCAGUUUGCCCCCUUCUUGGUCCUAGGAUACUGGAGGGCCAGAGAAAGCAAGCUUGAAACAGAGAGGAACGGGUCACUUUGGUGGAGGAAAUUGGGCCACCAAGCAGCCCUAUGGAGAGGCCAAUGUGGAGAGAAACUGAGGCCUUCCACCAAAAGCCAGCACCAACUUGCUAUCCAUGUGAGUGAACCAGCUUGCAGUACAGAGUGGUCAACCCCAGUCAAGCUUUCAGAUAACUACAAGCCUAGUUGACAUCUUGACUACAACUUCAAGAGAGACAUCAAGGCAGAACUGCUUCGCUAAACUGCUCUUGAAUUCUUGACCCACAGAAACUGAGAGAGAGAAUAAAUAUUUAUUGUUGUUUCAAGUAA